UUUGAGGGGAAUGUUGUCUGGCUCGACACAAUCACUCUCUUAUGUUUGUUUAUCUAUUCAUAAUCAUCAUGAUUGAUAUCUUGAUGACGAUGAAUAAACACAACAAAUUUCACAAAGAGAGUGAAGGCGUCGGACCAGGCUUCAUUCCUCUCAAA
rnacentral:pre_miRNA from 1 species